UGAACGCUGGCGGUAGGCCUAACACAUGCAAAUCGAACGGCAGCACAGUAAGAGCUUGCUCUUACGGGUGGCGAGUGGCGGACGGGUGAGGAAUACAUCGGAAUCUACUUUUUCGUGGGGGAUAACGUAGGGAAACUUACGCUAAUGCCGCAUACGACCUACGGGUGAAAGCAGGGGAUCUUCGGACCUUGCGCGAUUGAAUGAGCCGAUGUCGGAUUAGCUAGUUGGCGGGGUAAAGGCCCACCAAGGCGACGAUCCGUAGCUGGUCUGAGAGGAUGAUCAGCCACACUGGAACUGAGACAAGGUCCAGACUCCUACGGGAGGCAGCAGUGGGGAAUAUUGGACAAUGGGCGCAAGCCUGAUCCAGCCAUACCGCGUGGGUGAAGAAGGCCUUCGGGUUGUAAAGCCCUUUUGUUGGGAAAGAAAAGCAGCAGGUUAAUACCCCGCUGUUCUGACGGUACCCAAAGAAUAAGCACCGGCUAACUUCGUG
rnacentral:rRNA from 1 species